rnacentral:rRNA from 1 species
GGUUAAGUUAGAAAGGGCGCACGGUGGAUGCCUUGGCACUAGGAGCCGAAGAAGGACGGGACUAACACCGAUAUGCUUUGGGGAGCUGUACGUAAGCGUUGAUCCAGAGAUUUCCGAAUGGGGGAACCCACUAUCUUUAGUCGGAUAGUAUCCUUACGUGAAUACAUAGCGUGAGGAAGGCAGACCCAGGGAACUGAAACAUCUAAGUACCUGGAGGAAGAGAAAGAAAAAUCGAUUUCCUGAGUAGCGGCGAGCGAAACGGAAAGAGCCCAAACCAAGAAGCUUGCUUCUUGGGGUUGUAGGACACUCUAUACGGAGUUACAAAAGAAAGUUAUAAAUGAAGCGGUCUGGAAAGGCCCGCCAAAGACGGUAACAGCCCGGUAGUUGAAAUGGCUUUCCCUCCAGAGUGGAUCCUGAGUACGGCGGAACACGUGAAAUUCCGUCGGAAUCCGGGAGGACCAUCUCCCAAGGCUAAAUACUCCCUAGUGACCGAUAGUGAACCAGUACCGUGAGGGAAAGGUGAAAAGCACCCCGGAAGGGGAGUGAAACAGUUCCUGAAACCGUGUGCCUACAAGUAGUUAGAGCCCGUUAAUGGGUGAUAGCGUGCCUUUUGUAGAAUGAACCGGCGAGUUACGAUUUGUUGCAAGGUUAAGCGGAAAAAGCGGAGCCGUAGCGAAAGCGAGUCUGAAUAGGGCGCAUAAGUAACAGGUCGUAGACCCGAAACCAGGUGAUCUACCCAUGUCCAGGAUGAAGGUAAGGUAAUACUUACUGGAGGUCCGAACCCACGCACGUUGAAAAGUGCGGGGAUGAGGUGUGGGUAGCGGAGAAAUUCCAAUCGAACUUGGAGAUAGCUGGUUCUCUCCGAAAUAGCUUUAGGGCUAGCCUCGAGGUAAAGAGUCAUGGAGGUAGAGCACUGUUUGGACUAGGGGCCCUUCUCGGGUUACCGAAUUCAGAUAAACUCCGAAUGCCAUGUACUUAUACUCGGGAGUCAGACUGCGAGUGAUAAGAUCCGUAGUCGAAAGGGAAACAGCCCAGACCACCAGUUAAGGUCCCCAAAUAUAUGUUAAGUGGAAAAGGAUGUGGGGUUGCUUAGACAACCAGGAUGUUGGCUUAGAAGCAGCCACCAUUGAAAGAGUGCGUAAUAGCUCACUGGUCGAGUGACCCCGCGCCGAAAAUGUACCGGGGCUAAACAUAUUACCGAAACUGUGGAUGAACCUCUUUAGAGGUUCGUGGUAGGAGAGCGUUCUAAGGGCGGUGAAGUCAGACCGGAAGGACUGGUGGAGCGCUUAGAAGUGAGAAUGCCGGUAUGAGUAGCGAAAGAAGGGUGAGAAUCCCUUCCACCGAAUAUCUAAGGUUUCCUGAGGAAGGCUCGUCCGCUCAGGGUUAGUCGGGACCUAAGCCGAGGCCGAUAGGCGUAGGCGAUGGACAACAGGUAGAGAUUCCUGUACCAGUGCUAAUUGUUUAACCGAUGGGGUGACACAGAAGGAUAGGGAAUCGCACGAAUGGAAAUGUGCGUCCAAGCAGUGAGUGUGAGAAGUAGGCAAAUCCGCUUCUCANNNNNNNNNNNNNNNNNNNNNNNNNNNNNNNNNNNNNNNNNNNNNNNNNNNNNNNNNNNNNNNNNNNNNNNNNNNNNNNNNNNNNNNNNNNNNNNNNNNCGAAGCAUGAGCUGUGAUGGGGAAGGAAAUUAAGUACGGAAGUUCCUGAUUUCACGCUGUCAAGAAAAGCCUCUAGGAAGAGUAGUACUGCCCGUACCGCAAACCGACACAGGUAGAUGAGGAGAGAAUCCUAAGGUGAGCGAGAGAACUCUCGUUAAGGAACUCGGCAAAAUGACCCCGUAACUUCGGGAGAAGGGGUGCUCUAUUAGGGUGCAAGCCCGAGAGAGCCGCAGUGAAUAGGCCCAGGCGACUGUUUAGCAAAAACACAGGUCUCUGCAAAACCGUAAGGUGACGUAUAGGGGCUGACGCCUGCCCGGUGCUGGAAGGUUAAGAGGAGUGCUUAGCUUCGGCGAAGGUACGAAUUGAAGCCCCAGUAAACGGCGGCCGUAACUAUAACGGUCCUAAGGUAGCGAAAUUCCUUGUCGGGUAAGUUCCGACCCGCACGAAAGGCGCAACGAUCUGGGCACUGUCUCAACGAGAGACUCGGUGAAAUUAUAGUACCUGUGAAGAUGCAGGUUACCCGCGACAGGACGGAAAGACCCCGUGGAGCUUUACUGCAACCUGAUAUGGAAUGUUUGUACCGCUUGUACAGGAUAGGUAGGAGCCGAAGAGACGUGUGCGCUAGCAUACGAGGAGGCAAUGGUGGGAUACUACCCUGGCUGUAUGACCAUUCUAACCCGCCACGCUUAGCGCGUGGGGAGACAGUGUCAGGUGGGCAGUUUGACUGGGGCGGUCGCCUCCUAAAGAGUAACGGAGGCGCCCAAAGGUUCCCUCAGAAUGGAUGGAAAUCAUUCGCAGAGUGUAAAGGCACAAGGGAGCUUGACUGCGAGACUGACAAGUCGAGCAGGGACGAAAGUCGGGCUUAGUGAUCCGGUGGUUCCGCAUGGAAGGGCCAUCGCUCAACGGAUAAAAGCUACCCCGGGGAUAACAGGCUUAUCUCCCCCAAGAGUCCACAUCGACGGGGAGGUUUGGCACCUCGAUGUCGGCUCGUCGCAUCCUGGGGCUGUAGUCGGUCCCAAGGGUUGGGCUGUUCGCCCAUUAAAGCGGCACGCGAGCUGGGUUCAGAACGUCGUGAGACAGUUCGGUCCCUAUCCGUCGCGGGCGCAGGAAAUUUGAGAGGAGCUGUCCUUAGUACGAGAGGACCGGGAUGGACACACCGCUGGUGUACCAGUUGUUCCGCCAGGAGCAUCGCUGGGUAGCUAUGUGUGGCAGGGAUAAACGCUGAAAGCAUCUAAGCGUGAAGCCCCCCUCAAGAUGAGAUUUCCCAUUUCUUCGGAAAGUAAGAUCCCUGAAAGAUGAUCAGGUAGAUAGGUUUGGAGUGGAAGUGUAGCGAUACAUGGAGCGGACAAAUACUAAUCGAUCGAGGACUUAACCAA